AUUGAACGCUGGCGGCAGGCCUAACACAUGCCAGUCGAGCGAGCGGCGGACGGGUGAGUAAUGUAUGGGGACUGCCCGAUAGAGGGGGCUAACUACUGGAAACGGUGGCUAAUACCGCAUACUUUUGGCUAACCCAUAUGGGAUUAGCUAGUAGGUGGGGUAAAGGCUUACCUAGGCGACGAUCUCUAGCUGGUCUGAGAGGUUGAUCAGCCACACUGGAAUUGAGACACGGCCCAGUCUCCUACGGAGGCAGCAGUUGGGACUAUUGCACAAUGGGCGCAAGCCUGAUGCAGCAAUGCCGCGUGUAUGAAGAAGGCCUUAGGGUUGUAAAGUACUUUCAGCGGUGAGGCGUUACCCGCAGAAGAAGCACCGUCUAACUCCGUGCCAGCCGCCGCGGUAAUUC
rnacentral:rRNA from 1 species